GACAAUUGUCAUCACAGCUCUUACUGAAUAUAUCCUGAGUGGAUAAGGUUUCCUAGAAUUGAAUUACAGAAGAAAGUCCUAUGCAGAACACACUUCUAUUCUUAAUAUCGUCAUGGGAUGGUGCUUUCCACAUUAAUAUAAGUCAAGGAGGUCCUAAGAGAUGAGGAAGAAAGAAAAAUUGCAUCGGAGCAGAACAUUCUGGAUAGAAAAUAUGACCUUUUCCAUAUUAUUGAAUAAGGCUUUUUUUGGCCUCUUCAUCAUGGCAUUGUCUGGUUUCUCAGAUGUUUUAAGUGGACUACACUAUAAAGCAUUAAUAAAGAUUGACUGCAAUUGGAUAUUUAGAGCAGUUAUAGCAUCAAUGAAGAAAAUGAUGAAUUAUUGCCUACAUACACUUGAACCACUGUGUGCAACCAACAACAAAACUUACUGGAACUCGUGUGCAUUCUGCAUACUAACAUCGUAAGGAAUAAAAUUUCUUUUUUCCCCUUAAUCUUUUUAUUA
rnacentral:lncRNA from 1 species